UUGUUUAAGGGAUGAACAAGCCUUUGAUAAUUGAAUUCAUUCAUCUCUUGUCACCAUCACAGUGUUUUUGUUUUGCUUAUCAUUAUCGGAUGGUACAAUU
rfam:Capsicum annuum cultivar Zunla-1 chromosome 11, whole genome shotgun sequence